rnacentral:rRNA from 1 species
AGCGAACGCUGGCGGCAGGCUUAACACAUGCAAGUCGAGCGGGCGUAGCAAUACGUCAGCGGCAGACGGGUGAGUAACGCGUGGGAACAUACCUCUUGGUUCGGAACAACACAGGGAAACUUGUGCUAAUACCGGAUAAGCCCUUACGGGGAAAGAUUUAUCGCCGAAAGAUUGGCCCGCGUCUGAUUAGCUAGUUGGUGAGGUAACGGCUCACCAAGGCGACGAUCAGUAGCUGGUCUGAGAGGAUGAUCAGCCACAUUGGGACUGAGACACGGCCCAAACUCCUACGGGAGGCAGCAGUGGGGAAUAUUGGACAAUGGGCGCAAGCCUGAUCCAGCCAUGCCGCGUGAGUGAUGAAGGCCUUAGGGUUGUAAAGCUCUUUCGACGGGGACGAUAAUGACGGUACCCGUAGAAGAAGCCCCGGCUAACUUCGUGCCAGCCGCCGCAGUAAG